UGGGGAAUAUUGCACAAUGGGCGCAAGCCUGAUGCAGCCAUGCCGCGUGGGUGAAGAAGGCCUUCGGGUUGUAAAGCACUUUCAGCGGGGAGGAAGGCGGUGAGGUUAAUAACCUCAUCGAUUGACGUUACCCGCAGAAGAAGCACCGGCUAACUCCGUGCCAGCAGCCGCGGUAAUACGGAGGGUGCAAGCGUUAAUCGGAAUUACUGGGCGUAAAGCGCACGCAGGCGGUCUGUCAAGUCGGAUGUGAAAUCCCCGGGCUCAACCUGGGGACUGCAUUCGAAACUGGCAGGCUAGAGUCUUGUAGAGGGGGGUAGAAUUCCAGGUGUAGCGGUGAAAUGCGUAGAGAUCUGGAGGAAUACCGGUGGCGAAGGCCGCCCCCUGGACAAAGACUGACGCUCAGGUGCGAAAGCGUGGGGAGCAAAAAGG
rnacentral:rRNA from 1 species